rnacentral:rRNA from 1 species
ACUUCAGUCGAGCGGUAGGCCUUCGGGGUACACGAGCGGCGAACGGGUGAGUAACACGUGGGUAACCUGCCCUGUACUCUGGGAUAAGCCUUGGAAACGAGGUCUAAUACCGGAUACGACCCUUGGACGCAUGUUCGAGGGUGGAAAGUUCCGGCGGUAUGGGAUGGACCCGCGGCCUAUCAGCUUGUUGGUGGGGUAAUGGCCUACCAAGGCGACGACGGGUAGCCGGCCUGAGAGGGUGACCGGCCACACUGGGACUGAGACACGGCCCAGACUCCUACGGGAGGCAGCAGUGGGGAAUAUUGCACAAUGGGCGAAAGCCUGAUGCAGCGACGCCGCGUGAGGGAUGACGGCCUUCGGGUUGUAAACCUCUUUCAGCAGGGACGAAGCGCAAGUGACGGUACCUGCAGAAGAAGCACCGGCUAACUACGUGCCAGCAGCCGCGGUAAUACGUAGGGUGCGAGCGUUGUCCGGAAUUAUUGGGCGUAAAGAGCUCGUAGGCGGUUUGUCGCGUCGGCCGUGAAAACUUGGGGCUUAACUCCAAGCUUGCGGUCGAUACGGGCAGACUUGAGUUCGGCAGGGGAGACUGGAAUUCCUGGUGUAGCGGUGAAAUGCGCAGAUAUCAUGGGGGAACACCAAAG